CAGUACUACAACUACUCCAACUACAACAACUACCACCAGUACUCCAAUUACUACACCUACAUCAACUACACCCAGUGAACCAUCUGAUGUUACAGUUCUCAAAUUGAAGAUGACCUCUUUGGUGGACUUGUCUAAAAUUGAUAGAGAUACAUUCCUUACACAGAUAAAAAAUGCGCUGAUAUCCAAAGGGCUGCCCCAACAGACGGUCAUCCGACUCAUAAACAGCAAACCACAGAUUGGUGCAACUGUAGCGCCUUGUGCUGGCACAACAUAAACAUUUGACAGCAUCGAGAGCUUUUUCCUUUCAGCUGUUGAAUGAAAAGUUUUGGCUUCACUGUUCUUUAACACACAUUUUUAAUAAUUACGUUCACUUCUCAAGAGCAGCCUUUAAAAGCAACACAUUAGUCUGACUCUCCAGUGCUAUAAUCUGAAAUGAAUUAAUUUGUACUUUCGUUAGAUUGUGAAGAUUAAAUGUUAUUUUGCACUGAGUAUCCUUAGUCUAGUCAGUCCUUUCGUGUUGGUGGAAAAAUGCACCAU